GGAAAUUUUUCCCAUUGAUGGUCAGGGUGAGUACAGGUCAUUGGGCUCCUAUUGACUGUAUCCAAUAAAUAUCUGAAGAGUCGAAUCCAGCAUCUCCUCUUUUUUCUCUUUUUGCUACAUUAUUUGUUAGCAUUUGAGGGAGCAACAGCAGCUGCGCUAUACAUUGUCUCGCUUGUAUCACAGAAAUCCCAGUAGGUGAAUGAGUCAUAAUCUUAAUUUCUCCAGUGAAACCCCCAUCUAUGACCCCGGGAGCAACCAGAAUACCAUUCACAGUAGCGCUACUUCGACCUAAAAGUAAGCCUAUCAUCUCUGAUGGUAGAGGCCCAUAAACUCCAGUAGGUAGGGCCUGCAUCCCCAUUUCUGUGGUUAAUACUGUGAAGGCAGAGGGACUGAGGUCCAGUCCAGUCCUGUGCUGCCUGCGGUUGCUCUGAAGAGGUCCUGAAUGGAUUUCCUUGCUGGGGAACGAAUGUUUGAAGUGCCCCAUAACAUUGUCGCGGGGCCUGGGGCGGGCCCCUCCUCCCGUUUCCCUGCGGGAGAAUAUUUCCCAUGGCAUCCUUUUUUAGAUUUACACUCAUUAGCCCAAUGAUUGCCUCUUUUGCACCUGGGACACAAUCCAGGCCCAUUUUCUUUCCCUGCAUUGUUUGAAUUGGCUAGAGGAGUCUUAUUAGGACAUUGCCGCACCUGAUGGCCUAUUUGACCAUAUCCAAAUCAACUCCCUGGUGGACCCGGAACCCUGCCUUUGGGAUUUCUCUUUUGUUGUUGGAACAACACUUCCUUAACUGUUCUUCCCUGCAAAGCUGCUGCCAUAGCAAGGCCCUGAGUAUAAGCAAAUGUCAGCACACAUUCUGAUAUAAUCUGAAAUGGUGCCUUUCUUUCUAAAUGGUCUUAGGGCUGCCUGGCAGGCGGUAUUGGCAUUUUCAUAAGCCAGUUGUUUGACCAGUAACAAUCCCGCAUUGGAAUCUCCCAGCAAUCUACUGGCAGUCUGCAUUAACCUGGCUACAAAGUCUUGAAAAGGCUCAUCAGGUCCCUGCCUAAUUUUGGAUAAAUCUUCUGUCUGCCUACCUGUAGAAGGCAGCUUCUGCCAUGCCCGCUUGGCAGCGGUAUUGACCUGUGCAUAUACUCCUGCGGGAAACAAUAAUUGAUUGGCGAGGUCCGCAUAUCGCCCUUCUCCUGCCAGCAUGUUAUAAUCAAUAUCAUUUCUAUUAGCCUGAUUUAAUUCAGCUGUUCUUUGACACAGCUCCGAAAAUUCUGUUUUCCAAAGGAGGUACUCUGCCCCAGACAGGCAUGCCUUAGCAAGCUGUUUUCAAUCUCUGGGAGGCAGCGCCUCCAUGCUCAAUGAUUCUAACAUAGCCUGAGUAAAAGGUGCGGUAGGGCCAUAUUGCGCACAUGCCAUUUUUAACUCUUUGAGUUGCUUAAAAGGAAUCGGUCGAUGGAUUCUGACCAUAUUCCCUUGAGCAUCAGCUUCCUCAAAUACUGGACAAGCUAAAUGAAAGCCCUGGGUAUCUUCCCCUCUGUCAACCGCAUGUUGCAGGGUAGCUUGUAAUAGCGACAGAGACCGAGAGUUGACAGACAAAGGCCUGGGUCCUGGGGGAUGUUUGAUCAUGGCUAUAAGAGGGUCAGUUUUUUUCAUUAAUCUUGGACCUGCAACCAGCGGGGGAUCAAGACCAGCAAUUAUACUAGGAACUAUUCCUCCCUCGCCCUGAGUCUUCUGGUCUUCCUCUUCCACCGUUAAGCCUGUCUGCCACAGCUGACAAAGAGACUCCAAUCUCUUUUCCAAUCUAGCAAUCCUUUCGGUCAUGUCCUCAUUCGCUGGCUGUCAGGAUUUUUCUGUUUUCCUGGCCACGGCUACGAUAGGGAGAGGGGGAGCAGUCCUCACUGUUAUACCUAGCAGCCUCUUCUUCCAAAUCAUCAGCAUCUCCCGGGCUUAGGGGUCCCUCAUCUGGAAAAAACCCUUCCUUAGUGCAGGCUCUGCAUCAGCAUAUACUGGCAGAGCAGAUGGCUUAGUUUCAUUUUCUGUAGGAGGCGGAGGGACAACCUCGGGAACAUCAGCCUUGUCGGGCUCCUCUGAGGAAGGACUUGAGGAGGGUCCUUCAACCCUCUCUCUCUCUCAUGCCGAGGAUCCAAACUAUCUCUAAUUAAAGCCCAUAAACUAAAAGUAUCUAUAGGGACUUUAGUGGGUCCAUGAUUAUCGUAAUAUUCCUGAAGUCGCUUCCCCACCUUAUUCCAUACUUCUAAAUCUACUGUGCCUUCUUCAGGGAACCAAGGACAAACUUUCUCUACAAAUUCUAAAAAAUUACAUAAUUGUUGAUGCCCUACCUUUGCUCCACGAGACCGAAGCAUAUUUUUAAGCAUAUGUUCAAAAAGCAUUCAGCUGUUACCAAUACCCAUCUUGCUACUCUCGAGUGCAUUCACCGCCCUUAAUUUACUUAUCCGAGCUCACGACCCGCGGUGUCCCUCACUAUGGUCCCCGUAUUCAGGUCCCUGUUCGGGCGCCACCCGUGACGGAGCCCGCCCGUCACUUGUCGAACAGUACCUGAAUGGGAGAGUGAGGAUGAAGAAAAAUAAAGACAAAGAGAUAGAGUCAGGAGGGCUCCCAGAGACCGAGUGCCCAAGUUUUUCUCCUCUCUUUUCUACAACAGGUGAGUUUGCUUGUUAAUCAUGACCCUCAUCCAGAGACACCUGCUUCCUUGUUUUCUAGUUCUUUGGAAAUUCCCCGCCCUCAUGGGCUUCCUUGUUUCUCGGGGUUACAGAACAUUCAUCACGUUCCAGGGCAAUCUAAUUCGGCAAGGAUGCGGUUCCUCAUAACAUAGUCUCCUUGCUCUAUACAAUGGAGGGUAAGAUUCAAAAUGGAGCCUCUUUGUCUAACACCGCUCUCCACAAUUAAGAUGAAAAAAUACUGCCAAUCUGCACAUAUGAUGCUUUCUUCUUACAUGAACUAAACUCCUUGAAGUUUCUGAAUCCACCAUCAACAUUCUUUUAAGAAUCAACUUUUUUGAAGUUGAACCCAACCAAAAUAGCAUAUACUCAAAUAUAUGUUUUUGAUGAGUUUUGACAAAAGCACACACCCAUUUGACCUCCACCAUGAUCAAGAUUCAAGAUACUUUCUUCACCUCUCAUGCUAAUAUCAGUCAGUUCUUCCCAGCCCUGGCAUCAGCAAGUACUGAUCUGCUGUCACUAAGGUUAGAUUUGUCUUUCUAGAGCCUUUUGUAAAUGGGAUCAAGCAGUAUUUACUCUCUUUUGUGUCUGGUUUCUUUCAUUCAGCAC
rnacentral:lncRNA from 1 species